rnacentral:rRNA from 1 species
UCGCGAAUCUUACCCGUACGGUUGCCUCGGCGCUGGCGGUCCGGAAGGCCCUCGGGCCCCCGGAUCCUCGGGUCUCCCGCUCGCGGGAGGCUGCCCGCCGGAGUGCCGAAACCAAACUCUUGAUAUUUUAUGUUUCUCUGAGUAAACUUUUAAAUAAGUCAAAACUUUCAACAACGGAUCUCUUGGUUCUGGCAUCGAUGAAGAACGCAGCGAAAUGCGAUAAGUAAUGUGAAUUGCAGAAUUCAGUGAAUCAUCGAAUCUUUGAACGCACAUUGCGCUCGCCAGUAUUCUGGCGAGCAUGCCUGUUCGAGCGUCAUUUCAACCAUCAAGCUCUGCUUGCGUUGGGGAUCCGCGUCUGACGCGGUCCCUCAAAAACAGUGGCGGGCUCGCUAGUCACACCGAGCGUAGUAACUCUACAUCGCUAUGGUCGUGCGGCGGGUUCUUGCCGUAAAACCCCCAAUUUCUAAGGUUGACCUCGGAUCAGGUAGGAAUACCCGCUGAACUUAAGCAUAUCAA